rnacentral:rRNA from 1 species
UCGCGAAUCUUCCGCAAUGGGCGAAAGCCUGACGGAGCGACGCCGCGUGUGGGAUGAAGGUCUUCGGAUUGUAAACCACUGUCACGCGUUAGGAACACCCGUUCGAUAACAUCAAGCGGGAUGACGAAGGCGCGAGAGGAAGCCACGGCUAACUCUGUGCCAGCAGCCGCGGUAAGACAGAGGUGGCAAGCGUUGCUCGGAGUUACUGGGCUUAAAGGGCGCGUAGGCGGUCGUGCACGUCGGAGGUGAAAUCCCCGGGCCUAACCCGGGAACUGCCCCCGAUACGGCGCGGCUAGAGUGCGGGAGGGGAGAGUGGAACUCCUGGUGGAGCGGUGAAAUGCGUAGAUAUCAGGAGGAACGCCGGUGGCGAAAGCGACUCUCUGGUCCGCAACUGACGCUGAGGCGCGAAAGCCAGGGGAGCAAACGGGAUUAGAUACCCCGGUAGUCCUGGCCCUAAACGAUGCGCACUAGGUAGUGGCGGUUCCGAACCGUCCCUGCUGAAACGAAGC